rnacentral:rRNA from 1 species
CCGGAUGCCGAUCUCGAAAACCUGUCCCAGUUCGGACUGGAGUCUGCAACCCGACUCCACGAAGUUGGAUUCGCUAGUAAUCGCGCAUCAGCCAUGGCGCGGUGAAUACGUUCCCGGGCCUUGUACACACCGCCCGUCAAGCCAUGGGAGCCGGGGGCGCCUGAAGUCCGGGACCGCGAGGACCGGCCUAAGGCGAAACUGGUGACUGGGGCUAAGUCGUAACAAGGUAAC